rnacentral:rRNA from 1 species
UACGUAGGGUGCAAGCGUUGUCCGGAAUUAUUGGGCGUAAAGCGUGCGCAGGCGGUUUUGUAAGUCUGACGUGAAAUCCCCGGGCUCAACCUGGGAAUUGCGUUGGAGACUGCAAGGCUGGAGUCUGGCAGAGGGGGGUAGAAUUCCACGUGUAGCAGUGAAAUGCGUAGAGAUCCGGAAGAACACCGGUGGCGAAGGCGGCCUGCUGGGCAGUUUGGCUGACACUGAGGCGCGACAGCGUGGGGAGCAAACAGG